UACAGAGGGUGCGAGCGUUAAUCGGAAUUACUGGGCGUAAAGCGUGCGCAGGCGGUUUUGUAAGUCAGAUGUGAAAUCCCCGGGCUUAACCUGGGAACUGCGUUUGAAACUACAAGGCUAGAGUGUGGCAGAGGGGGGUGGAAUUCCACGUGUAGCAGUGAAAUGCGUAGAGAUCCGGAGGAACACCAGUGGCGAAGGCGACACGCUGGGCCGUACCUGACACUGAUGCGCGACAGCAUGGGGAGCAACAGG
rnacentral:rRNA from 1 species